rnacentral:rRNA from 1 species
CGGAGGGUGCAAGCGUUAUCCGGAUUCACUGGGUUUAAAGGGUGCGUAGGUGGGUUGGUAAGUCAGUGGUGAAAUCUCCGUGCUUAACAUGGAAGCUGCCAUUGAUACUACUGAUCUUGAAUUUUCUGGAGGUAAGCGGAAUAUGUCAUGUAGCGGUGAAAUGCUUAGAUAUGACAUAGAACACCAAUUGCGAAGGCAGCUUGCUACAGGGAUAUUGACACUGAGGCACGAAAGCGUGGGGAUCAAACAGGAUUAGAUACCCUGGUAGUCCACGCCCUAAACGAUGGAUACUCGACAUUUGUGAUACACAAUAAGUGUCUGAGCGAAAGCAUUAAGUAUCCCACCUGGGAAGUACGACCGCAAGGUUG